GUGGGGAAUCUUCCGCAAUGGACGAAAGUCUGACGGAGCAACGCCGCGUGAGUGAAGAAGGUUUUCGGAUCGUAAAGCUCUUUCGUUAGGGACGAACGUGCUCUUUGUGAAUAAUGAGGAGUAAUGACGGUACAUAAAUAAGAAGCCACGGCUAACUACGUGCCAGCAGCCGCGGUAAUACGUAGGUGGCAAGCGUUGUCCGGAAUUAUUGGGCGUAAAGCGCGCGCAGGCGGGAUAUCAAGUCUGUCUUAAAAGUGCGAGGCUCAGCCUCGUGAGGGGACAGAAACUGGUAGUCUUGAGGGUCGGAGAGGAAAGUGGGAUUCCAAAUGUAGCGGUGAAAUGCGUAGAGAUUUGGAAGAACACCAGUGGCGAAGGCGACUUUCUGGACGAUGUCUGACGCUGAGGCGCGAAAGCUAGGGGAGCGAACGGGAUUAGAAACCCGUGUAGUCC
rnacentral:rRNA from 1 species